rnacentral:rRNA from 1 species
GACAGAGGUGCCGAGCGUUAGGCGGAAUCACUGGGCUUAAAGCGUGUGUAGGCGGGCGGGCAAGUACCUUGUGAAAUCCCACGGCUCAACCGUGGAACGGCUGGGUAUACUGCCUGUCUUGAGCCAACUAGGGGCGAGCGGAACAGACGGUGGAGCGGUGAAAUGCGUAGAUAUCGUCUGGAACGCCAAAGGUGAAAACAGCUCGCUGGGGCUGCGCUGACGCUGAGACACGAAAGCCAGGGGAGCGAACGGG